AUGGCGUUUUCCCUCUCCCUGUCCUGGACUGGGGUCAGACUGUGCCCCGAGGAGAAGCAGCAGAGAAUAGGACUACGUCAU
ensembl:miRNA MIR922 microRNA 922